GACCCCGCACAAGCGGCGGAGCAUGCGGCUUAAUUCGAUGAUACCCGUAGAACCUUACCUGGACUUGACAUAUAGGGAAAAACUAAAGAAAUUUAGUGUGCGUAAGCGCCCUAUACAGGUGGUGCAUGGCUGUCGUCAGCUCGUGUCGUGAGAUGUUGGGUUAAGUCCCGCAACGAGCGCAACCCUUGUCCUAUGUUGCCAGCGGAUAAUGCCGGGGACUCGUAGGAGACUGCCGGGGUCAACUCGGAGGAAGGUGGGGACGACGUCAAGUCAUCAUGCCCCUUAUAUCCAGGGCUGCAAACAUGCUACAAUGGCCGGUACAGAGGGCUGCGAGACCGCGAGGUUUAGCGAAUCCCACAAAGCCGGUCUCAGUUCGGAUUGGAGUCUGCAACUCGACUCCAUGAAGGCGGAGUCGCUAGUAA
rnacentral:rRNA from 1 species